GUAAAGGUCCAUUUUGUGAAGUCAACAUUCUGCAAGGAAAAUACUCUCUGGAGAAUCUGGAUGAUGAUGUAGCGAAGGAUCUUGUCGAGUGGAUGAUCAAUGAACAUCCAAACAACAGACCAACUGUGGAGCAAACCCUUGAACACCCCUUCUUCUGGACUAAUGAACGGAGAGUGGAGUAUUUGAAAAAGAUGGGGAACCAGAAUGAGACCGAGAACUGUCGUAAUGUUGAUGAGGAGCUCCUUCAAACUGUUGAAAAAUACACAGAGGGGAAAAGCUUUUCUGAAUGGAA
rnacentral:lncRNA from 1 species